AGAUCAUUUUUGUGCUGUUUACUCAAGUACACUAGUGAAGUCUUCAUGCGCCUUAGUUAAUAUGUUUGGUUGAAUAAUCGUGUCUGACUGCUUAGAUGAUUGCUUCUUAUUCCAGAUGGCGAAUCCGCAUGAACCUCAUUUCUUAAAGCCUCUGCUUCCUGGUUUCCACAACGGCGUCACAAUACUAGUAAGCUUCUUCUCACAGCACAUACAAGGGAAGACGAACGGGAAAAAAUGGAAACUAAGAUCGGACGCUUCUGAUCAAACUUGGGAAGUGAUACAAGAAGGCAAGGCAGGCGACUCACCGGAGGUUGGAAAGAUUUCACGACAGCACAUGACCUUCAAAUCGGUGACAUUCUCGUCUUCAAACACGAAGGAGACAUGGUGCUACUGCUUAUUGUAAACUUGAAUUUGGCUAUGUAUCUCGGAGAGAUUGUUUUCUUUUGCCUCAAAACUUGUUUCUGUACUUUUCAAAACUUGUUUUUGUUAAACUCCAAGAAGUUCUUUUUAGUCCUCGGUUGUUUCAUU